GGACAGGAAAACUUGAGAUGGUCUGUGCUUAUACAAGUCUGCUGCUAUCAAAACCCAAAGCCAGCCGUAUCGGAAUAGAACGCAAUGCCUCCUAUCUUUGCCAAAGUUCUAACCUCGCCCAUAUAGAAGACCUUCAAAGCUCAUUAACCCUGUUAAUAAGGCUGCUGUUCUUCACUGCUGUAAGCUAGCGAAAGUGUACUUUUGAGGUGCCGGAGCUAGUCAAGCUGCUCCUCAGCUUUUUCUUCGUCUUCCUCACUAUCCUGAUGAUAGAUGGAAACCUACCAUAUUAUUAUUAUUAUGCUUAAGACUUCCAAAUCUCCAAUGAAAUCUUAUCUAACAAUAAAGCAUGUGAACACACUGA